rnacentral:sRNA from 1 species
GCCUGCUGGGGGGAAAUCAAAUGGAUGUGGGAAUCAAUACCAGCAGCAGUUAAAAUCAAAUGCUCACCUGAAAUAGCAUCAGUGCUGACCCCGACAACCAUGCCAGGCGUAACACCAUCCAUAACAUCUGGGUUUCCACUUUUUCCAAUACCUACAAUUCUCCCGUCACGAAGCCCAACAUCAGCUUUAACAACACCUAAUUUUGCAUCGAGAAUGGUUACGUUAGUUAUGACAAGAUCAAGCACACCAUUAUCACGAGUUAAAUUGUUAUUCGCGCCCAUUCCAUCUCG